ACCCUAGCCCAGGCGAGGGUACCUACCAAGUUUAAGCAUAUCAAUAAGCGGAGGAAAAG
rnacentral:rRNA from 1 species